rnacentral:lncRNA from 1 species
CUUCCUCUUCAUCCACCGCAGUCGCCGUCGCUGGAGAUCAUUCCUUCAACGCCGGACUCUCUUCUGGCGACGUUCUCGUCUUCAAACCCGAGCCUCUAUCUCUCUCUUUGUCAUCUCACCCUAGACCUACUUACGAUCUCGUCGUUCCCGGCGUUGUUAACUCCGGAUUCUGUAGAUCCGCAGCUGAAGCCGCCGCUGCCGCCGUCACCGUAGCUUCAAGAAGCUCCGGUCCUCUCGGGCCGUUCACAGGCUACGCAUCCAUUCUGAAAGGAUCAAAGUUCUUGAAACCAGCACAGAUGCUUCUUGAUGAUUUUUGUAGUGUAAGUCGCGCGGUUUACACCGAACAAAUCGUCGACGACGAAGAUGACGAUUCCUCUUUGCUUUUUGACCCAACGAUUGAUAAUCUCUGCGGCGUUUCUGACGCCGGCGUAGGAGAAAAUGGCAAGAAAAAAUCAAUGCUCAUCUCCAUGCUAGACGAGGUAUAUAAUUAAUUAUGUUAUUAUCUGAAAAAAUCAUUUAAAACAACUGUCUUAAUAUUUUAAUCUGUAUGUGUAUUAUUGUGUUAAAUGUUCACAGUUUUUGGUCGGUGUCCUUUGAAACUGGUCGCCAAAUGUGAUAAAUGAUAUGUUUAUUAAAAAAAUCUUCCUUGGAAAAUGAAACUCCUUCAAAACCAUUUUAAAUCUGUAUCGUUUAAAUAUUUUAUUCCAUUCCUUAUACUAAGAGGAAGUGUUACUUUAAUUGAACGUUCCCUACGUUGCAUGAAUAGAAGAUGUUAUUAAUUCCAAGUUAACAGAUGAUAUAUUCAUUUUUAAUAGAAUUUUUAAGGUUAUACUAAAUAAUAAUAUUAUUAUCGUGGGAAGUGACUUUAUAUUGAGCUUCCCUGGCUCUUGAUCUAAAUUUGUGAAUUGGAUUCUUCAUAUCUUAAGGAUAUAAUCUUAAAGUGUAAAAAGAGAACUUCUUCUUUAUGAAAGGGAAUAUAUGCACGAGAUCGAUAUUUCAUCUUAAAGCUAGGGACUCGAAGAUUUUAACUAGUUUAUUCUGUGGUAUAUAGCAUACUUUUUGAGUGAGGAAAUAAUGUAUGAGCCAUUGGAGUUUAUAAUUUCACAUAAUUAUUACAUAAUUGGUUCGAUUCUUAAAAACAUUUCCAUGUGACCUUUUCAAGGUUUACAAGAGGUAUAAGCAGUACUAUGAGCAGCUUCAAACUGUGAUGGGCUCGUUCGAAUGCGUCGCAGGUCUCGGGCACGCAGCUCCUUAUGCGAGUUUAACAUUAAAGGUUUUGUCUAAGCAUUUCAAAUGUUUGAAGAAUGCUAUAACAGACCAGCUUCAGUUUAGCACCAAUAAUAAGAUUCAACAACAACGUGGCCAUGUGAUGAACUCUGAGAAUAACACCGACUUUUUGGGGUUUGGAGGAAGUGAUAGUAGUAGAGGCCUGUGUUCUGCUGGUCAAAGACAUGGAUUCCCUGAUCACCAUGCUCCUGUAUGGAGACCACACCGUGGCCUACCCGAACGUGCUGUCACCGUUCUAAGGGCUUGGCUCUUCGAUCAUUUCUUGCAUCCGUAAGUAAACCUUUUUAAGCCAAAUAUUUGUUUUUUAGAGCAGUUGAUUUGAGGUUGGGCUUAGUUUAUUUAUACUACGCGUUAACCAUGUCAAUUUUAUCAGACCAUCAAUCAGUUCAUCGAUGUUACAUUUGUAACAUGACAUAAGCAAAGUCCAAUAUCCGUAUAACUAUAUUGUCUUCAUACUGGCUUCAUAUCUUAAUAUGAUAUUCAUGUGUCAGGAAGACAUGAACCACAUUAUGCAUAUACUUGGGAACAGAUAGCUAUAGAUGCAUGUGUAUGUUUGUAUAGAAGUGUAUUAUAACUUGGAAGUAUGCUCUAGAUGGGACAUGUCGAAUGCUUGUUUGUUUCUCAAACAUGGUUAUGUCGUUUUCUAAUUAUGUGUAAAUGUAAAAAUAUAUUUUAAAUUAUAGUUGUGUGUCUUUUGUUGCAGUUAUCCAACUGAUACAGACAAACUCAUGUUGGCUAAACAGACAGGUCUCUCCAGGAAUCAGGUUUUCACUUAUGAUAUAUCAGCUUUGUUCUUCUUUUCUUUCUACUUCGCAAUUUAGCAAAAUUCUUUGCUAUAUAAUUAAGAGCAUAUAUAGCUAUAAUUAGCUUAUUAUGUCACCCACCGGCGAGUAAUUUUUAUUAGGUUUUACUAGAUAAUGCAGUAUAUACUUUUCAAAAAUAUCUUACAUUAUUGAAUACAACUAAAAAAUUUCUAGAACGCCAUUAAUAAAACAGGAUAAUUAUUAGAUUUCUAAAAUUCUAUAAAACCAUGUGGUUAAACAUUUGAAGAAAUCAAUCGGCUGGUGUAUCAUGACAUUCAACUACUCUAUUUAGUCAACUUUCUAGGAAUGAUCCUUAGGUUAUUGAAAAUGGCUAUUUAGGAACUUUAGUGGUGGAUAAUUAACUUUGUUAUUUUCAGGUGUCGAAUUGGUUCAUAAACGCGCGAGUUAGGGUUUGGAAACCGAUGGUGGAAGAGAUUCAUAUGCUGGAGACUCGACAAUCUCAGAAAUCUUCUUCCUCUUGUUGGAGAGACACCCCCACCGUCUUCCCUGAUAACAACAACAACCCUUCUUCCUCAACGGCUCAACAAAGAGCUAACAACAACUCUUCUCCCGCUAGACGGGUGCGAAACGAUGACGUUCACCGACUCUGAUUUCCUCGCAGCUGGUGGAUUCCAUUCAAACAAUAACAAUAACCCUAGCUACAGUAACUUCAUGGGUUUUCUCGGUGGGCCAUCUUCCUCUUCAUCCACCGCAGUCGCCGUCGCUGGAGAUCAUUCCUUCAACGCCGGACUCUCUUCUGGCGACGUUCUCGUCUUCAAACCCGAGCCUCUAUCUCUCUCUUUGUCAUCUCACCCUAGACCUACUUACGAUCUCGUCGUUCCCGGCGUUGUUAACUCCGGACUCUGUAGAUCCGCAGCUGAAGCCGCCGCUGCCGCCGUCACCGUAGCUUCAAGAAGCUCCGGUCCUCUCGGGCCGUUCACAGGCUACGCAUCCAUUCUGAAAGGAUCAAAGUUCUUGAAACCAGC